UACGUGAGGCAGCAAGCGUUGUUCGGAGUUACUGGGCGUAAAGCGUGUGUAGGCGGAUCGUUAAGUGUCGUUGUGAAAUCCCACGGCUCACCCGUGGAACUGCUGGGCAUACUGGCGAUCUUGGGCCAACUAGGGGCAGCCGGAACAAGCGGUGGAGCGGAUGAAUGCGUAGAGUAUCGCUGGAACGCCGAAGGUGAAAACAGGCUGCUGGG
rnacentral:rRNA from 1 species